UACGGGGGGGGCAAGCGUUGUUCGGAAUUACUGGGCGUAAAGGGCUCGUAGGCGGCCAACUAAGUCAGACGUGAAAUCCCUCGGCUUAACCGGGGAACUGCGUCUGAUACUGGAUGGCUUGAGUUUGGGAGAGGGAUGCGGAAUUCCUGGUGUAGCGGUGAAAUGCGCAGAUAUCAGGAGGAACACCGGUGGCGAAGGCGGCUACCUGGACAGAGUCUGACGCUGAGGCACGAAAGCUAGGGGAGCAAACAGG
rnacentral:rRNA from 1 species